CCAAUUCCGCAAGGAAUGUGAUGAAUCAUAGUAAUCGAACGAAUCGCAGGUAUAUGCGAUAAGUCAUUCAAGUUUCUGCCCUAUCAGCUUUGGAUGGUAGUGUAUUGGACUACCAUGGCAGUCACGGGUAACGGAGAAUUAGGGUUCGAUUCCGGAGAGGGAGCCUGAGAAACGGCUACCACAUCUACGGAAGGCAGCAGGCGCGAAAAUUGCCCAAUCCUGACACGGGGAGGCAGUGACAAGAAAUAACAACUCUAGGUUUUCUUAGAAGUGUAAUGAGGAUAAUUUACAAACCUUACCAAAUGCAAUUGGAGGGCAAGUCUGGUGCCAGCAGCCGCGGUAAUUCCAGCUCCAAUAGCGUAUAUUAAAGUUGUUGCAGUUAAAAAGCUCGUAGUUGAAAUUCUGAUUGUUCGGGUUUUUAGCCUUUAGGCGGAAAUACCGACAGUCAUCCGCUUGCAAACAUACGUUUGACCUUAACCAGUUGACUAUGUGAGUAAGCAUUUUACCUUGAGAAAAACAGAGUGUUCCAGGCAGGUUUGUCCGGAAUGCAUUAGCAUGGAAUAAUAGAACAUGACUGAAGUCUAUUUAUUGGUUAAAGGCUUUAGUAAUGAUUAAUAGGAACAGUCGGGGGCAUUCGUACUCAGCAGUCAGAGGUGAAAUUCUAAGAUUUGCUGAAGACGAACUAAUGCGAAAGCAUUUGCCAAGGAUGUUUUCAUUAAUCAAGAACGAAAGUUAGGGGAUCAAAGACGAUCAGAUACCGUCCUAGUCUUAACUAUAAACGAUACCGACUCGGAUUCAGAUGAAUCAAAAUGUUCAUUUGGGACCGUAGGAGAAAUCAAAGUCUUUGGGUUCUGGGGGGAGUAUGGUCGCAAGGCUGAAACUUAAAGGAAUUGACGGUUUUGCACCACCAUGGAGUGGAGUUUGCGGCUUAAUUUGACUCAACACUGGGAAACUCAUCAGGGCAAGAAGAUUU
rnacentral:rRNA from 1 species